rnacentral:lncRNA from 1 species
AAGAGAAAAUAGAAUCCAACAACAACAUAGUGGGCCUCAACUACAUAUUAGGCCCAUGAUUGAGUUGGACGGUUUAUAUUUGACCCUACCAGUCCUAAUUCUAAACAAAUUCUCCCUCCUCUUUUCCUCAUUCUUCUUCACGAAAUUUUGAUUUCAUCGAUCGAUCGAUCGAUCUGAUUCUUCAAUCUUCUUCUUUCACCUUCACUACCAUGGAUAAAACAAAGUUAACAAGAUUAGCUAUUGCUUCUCGUCUAUUAGAACAUCUAAAUCGUGUUGAUCUAACGGAAAUGGGGUCCUUAGUGUUAAAUGCAAUACAUAUGGACAACCCAUCAUAGGCUGCUUCUUGAUCAGAGAGAUGUAUUUAUUUUGAAAGAAGUCGAUGGCUACUCAGUAUUCUGCGAUUGUCCAUCGUAAUGCUUAUGUUUUCAUAAUAAUCUAUCUUAUGCUUUUAGACAAUUAAAUUAUUAGGCCAUAAUAAAGAUAUGUUGGACAAUGAUUUUCUGCGUAAACAGGCUCUCAUGUAAAGUUGUAAUUCUGAGAUGACACUAAGGCAGCUUGGUAUGUAUAAAUUGGCCACUAUUGACGUGAACGGGAAGACCUUUAGGAUCAUUUUUUUUUCCUUUUCUUUUUGUAGCC